rnacentral:rRNA from 1 species
UACGUAGGGGGCCAGCGUUGUCCGGAAUCAUUGGGCGUAAAGAGCGUGUAGGUGGCUCGGUAAGUCCGCUGUGAAAGUCCAGGGCUCAACCCUGGAAUGCCGGUGGAAACUGUCGAGCUAGAGUCCGGAAGAGGCGAGUGGAAUUCCUGGUGUAGCGGUGAAAUGCGCAGAUAUCAGGAGGAACACCAAUGGCGAAGGCAGCUCGCUGGGACGGUACUGACACUGAGACGCGAAAGCGUGGGGAGCAAACAGG